rnacentral:rRNA from 1 species
UACGUAGGGUCCGAGCGUUGUCCGGAAUUACUGGGCGUAAAGGGCGCGUAGGCGGCCUGCUAAGUCGGACGUGAAAUCCCCGGGCUUAACCCGGGAACUGCGUCCGAUACUGGUGGGCUUGAAUCCGGGAGAGGGAUGUGGAAUUCCAGGUGUAGCGGUGAAAUGCGUAGAUAUCUGGAGGAACACCGGUGGCGAAGGCGGCAUCCUGGACCGGUAUUGACGCUGAGGCGCGAAAGCCAGGGGAGCAAACGGG